rnacentral:tRNA from 1 species
UCCCUGGUGGUACAGUGGGUAAGAAACCGCCUACCAAUGCAGGGGACACAGGUUCAAUCCCUGGUCCAGGAAG